rnacentral:lncRNA from 1 species
GGGGCAAGGAUAUGAUGGAAACGAUUGUCUUGUCCCCUGCGUCCGGCAAUUCUGAAGACAGCAUCAAAGAUGGGCCGUGAAGAGAAAGGACCCCGAGGGCGGCCCGACACGAGAGAGAAUCCGCUGGGACUAUUUGCGCGGCAGGGGCUUGAGCUGAGUGAGGCUGCAGAGGCGGGGCCCAAGCCGAAGGGCCGGACCCAAAUUAAGUCCCAGCCACUGGGCUGGAGGCGGGGCCAGUGUGGAGAUUGACAGGGGGCCGUCCUGGGAAAGCGCCCACGUGGCGCAGAAUUAGAGGCGGAGCCUACACGACCCUGUACCUUUGCUCCUAAGCAUGAAGAUGGGCUUCUGACCAAGUCCUGCUAGAGGACACUGAAAGGGCAAGCCUUGGGCUUUAACCAGGCAAUGUUCUCAUCCAUAUGAGCAAGGGCUUCAUGUUACUGGCCGUGGCCCUGUGCUGAGUCCUCCUCCCGCCCAUGGCCCUCUCCUCCUGGCCAGUGGUCCUCCGCCUGAACAUGGCCGACUUUGUCUUCAGUUUCCUCUGCCUCGGCAUUGGGCUCCUGAUUUCUCUUCAGCCUGACGCUCUUUUCAGUUAACGGCAAGGCGGUGCACCCAAGUCCGGUGGUGUCCUACCUGGUGACCUCCUACCUGUGCUGGGACGCCAGCGACUUGAUGCUGCACUCCGGAGCCGUGUCCUACCUAAGCCCAGUGGGCAUGUGAAGCAGAGGGCAGCCCUUGAAUGCGCGGCGGCUGAGCUACCGCGGGUGGGCCGUGCAGCAGGGCGCAGCGAGGCGGACAUCCAAACAGCGGAACUCAGACGCUGACUCCGAGCGCACCCCGGGCCUUCCCAUUUCAUACACCCUCGAGGAUGAGACCCAAGCACCUCCAAGGAAUAGCACCCGAGGUCUUCAGGACACCGACCGGUAGCCAUGGCCAGAUGCCCGGCCAACCCCUUCAGCGUGGCCACGCCCUGGAUAUUCGACCUCCCCUGAGGCCCCACCCCCUGAUAUCAGGCCACGCCCUCCGAGGGGACCGGUGGCAAACUCCAGCCCUCGCUCUAGGGCCCGCCCUUUGCGGCUUUGUCCCUGCCCACUGGGUCCUCACAGUACCUCCACCCCAGAGGCCCAGCAUCCCCUCCCGUUCUGCAGACACUUGUCCAGCGUCCCGCUGAGCUCGGCAGUGUGGCUAGUUUGUGUGGCCCUGCCCCUGGUGCCCAGCCAGGGUGGUCUGCAUGGAACUUCUUUCCCGGAGUUCCGGCCUCAGCUCCGAUGUCCACCCUUGUCCCCAGGUGGACACAGCACCGCCCAGCAUUUGGUGCAACUCCACCCUUCUGCAGAACGGGCCCCUCCCUGGGAAGGCAUGGCUUGCAAUAACAUCCCUCUGUACCUUUUCUGGCUUCCCCGCCACAAUAAAACCUCUCAGCCUCAGACCUUCCAUUGCCCCCCACCUCCCCACCAGGGCAGGGUCCAUCCUAGUGUGAGUGAACUGUUCUGGCGUCCCUGACUUGCCCUUUGGGA